rnacentral:lncRNA from 1 species
GUUCCUAAUUCUCUAGCCUUUUUUAAAUCUUCAGUUGUUUGUCAACACACAUCAAAGUGUCCUUAUAUAUUUCAGAAAGGAUUAGCAGGAAGGACACGGGCUUAGAAGGGGUGAGGAACGGAUGUUCAUUAGCAAGCAAUCAUCUUCUGGAAAGAAAAAAAUAAUGCUUAUGAUUAAAUGAACAGAAUUUGAAGAAGUCAAUUUUAAAUCUAGCUCAGAAGCGCAAACGGAUCAAAGAAGGGAAUAUAAAUACACCCCUUAGGCCAUGACUUGUUUUGGAAAUUCAGAAUAACCUAUAUCAUUUGAAAUGCAUGGACCUCCCUCAGUUGAAAUCCUCUGGACCAAACCAGUAUAAAUAUCAGACUGUGGACUCUCAGCUGCUCUUACAUAGCACAUCACUGGCAUUUCUAUGGGACAACUUCUAGCGACUGUGGUUGAGAAUCUGACUUUGCAGGCCCCUUCAAUCUCAUCUUGUCAGUUAUGUGUGUUAUGCUCUGCAUUGUUCUGUCUGGUUUUAUGAAAGUAGAGCAAUAAAUUAAGCAAUUCCUGCCUCUCAAGUUCUUUGCUUUAAUUUAAAUGACAACAUAUUAUACCUUUGCAGCACAUUAUUUCCCUCAAAGAAUUCUGGGCACUGUAGUUUCUUAAGGGUUGCUGGGAAUUGUAACUAUGUGAGGGAUAAACUACAGUACCCAGAAGUUUUGGGGGUGGGGUGUGCUUUGAAUGUACUUUGUAAAUAGAGGGUGGGGAAUGGUUUUCACAUUGAGUGUUGUAUUUCCUCAUGGAACCCUCUGGUGCCAGUAGUGGACAGGGCCACAAGCAAAAAUGAGUUGGGCAGUGGACAUGACUCUUUCUACGGUGGGCUACAUUCCAGCCAAAGGUUUCCACAACACACACACCCCUCCAUCCAGGCAAGAAAGACCCAUUCCCAAAUAUUCAAGGACACCAGUGUGAACAGGGCUGGGCAAAGAGUCCUAAGGGGCUGUAUAGUGAGAGGGCUAGAGAGCAUCAUUUAUGCCUUCAACCUGAGAUUCCCCAUACCUGAUCUAAAUACUGAAGGCAUAAAAACCAUACGUAGGAAGCCUCUGCAACACUAAUCAAUUAUGUCAUUUCUGGUGGAGUAGUGAAUUUGUAAUAGAGGAAAUCAUUAGGCACAUUUUACAAACCAAUCCAGUAUUGCGCCUCUUAUGAAUCUAUGAGGUGGCCCUGGAGCCCUUAUUGUAGCCUGUCCAUGGCCUUUGCAAACCUGGUACUCAUCAGUUGCCAUCAACUCCAGCCAAGACGGCUGAAUAAAGACUCCACAGUGUUGCUAUUGGUUGCAGCCAGUCAGGAAACAGGCCUGCACUGCAACACAUCUAUAGCGUGCUCCAUAAAACUCAUG